rnacentral:rRNA from 1 species
GCGGCCUAUCAGCUUGUUGGUGAGGUAAUGGCUCACCAAGGCGACGACGGGUAGCCGGCCUGAGAGGGUGACCGGCCACACUGGGACUGAGACACGGCCCAGACUCCUACGGGAGGCAGCAGUGGGGAAUAUUGCACAAUGGGCGAAAGCCUGAUGCAGCGACGCCGCGUGAGGGAUGAAGGCCUUCGGGUUGUAAACCUCUUUCAGCAGGGAAGAAGCGAAAGUGACGGUACCUGCAGAAGAAGCACCGGCUAACUACGUGCCAGCAGCCGCGGUAAUACGUAGGGUGCGAGCGUUGUCCGGAAUUAUUGGGCGUAAAGAGCUUGUAGGCGGUUUGUCGCGUCUGCAGUGAAAAUCCGGGGCUCAACCCCGGACUUGCUGUGGGUACGGGCAGACUAGAGUAUGGUAGGGGAGACCGGAAUUCCUGGUGUAGCGGUGGAAUGCGCAGAUAUCAGGAGGAACACCGAUGGCGAAGGCAGGUCUCUGGGCCAUAACUGACGCUGAGAAGCGAAAGCAUGGGGAGCGAACAGGAUUAGAUACCCUGGUAGUCCAUGCCGUAAACGUUGGGCGCUAGGUGUGGGACUCAUUCCACGAGUUCCGUGCCGCAGCUAACGCAUUAAGCGCCCCGCCGCGUGGGGGAUACGGGCCGCAAAACUAAAAACUCAAAGGAUUUGACGGGGGCCCGCACAAGCGGGCGGAGCAUGCGGAUUAAUUCGAUGCAACGCGAAGAACCUUACCAAGGCUUGACAUAUACCGGAAACAUCCAGAGAUGGGUGCCCCGCAAGGUCGGUAUACAGGUGGUGCAUGGUUGUCGUCAGCUCGUGUCGUGAGAUGUUGGGUUAAGUCCCGCAACGAGCGCAACCCUCGUUCUAUGUUGCCAGCGCGUAAUGGCGGGGACUCAUAGGAGACUGCCGGGGUCAACUCGGAGGAAGGUGGGGAUGACGUCAAAUCAUCAUGCCCCUUAUGUCUUGGGCUUCACGCAUGCUACAAUGGCCGGUACAAAGGGCUGCGAUACCGCGAGGUGGAGCGAAUCCCAAAAAACCGGUCUCAGUUCGGAUUGGGGUCUGCAACUCGACCCCAUGAAGUCGGAGUCGCUAGUAAUCGCAGAUCAGCAACGCUGCGGUGAAUACGUUCCCGG